rnacentral:tRNA from 1 species
GGGGGUGUAUCUCAGUGGUGGAGAGCUUGCCUUGCAUGCAUGAGGCCCUGAUUUCAAUCUCUGGUACUUCAA